UUUGUACUCCCUCCAUCCCAAAAUUCUUGUCUUAAAUUUGUCUAAAUACAAAUGUAUCUAGUUACAUUUUAGUGUUAGAUACAUCUGUAUCUAAACAACUGCAAGACAAGAAUUUUGGGACGGAGGGAAUACUAC
rfam:Triticum aestivum genome assembly, contig: Triticum_aestivum_CS42_TGACv1_scaffold_149120_2BS